CUAACUAGUUCAGUUCACACAUGAGCUAGCAACAACUGGAUUUGUAGCAACGUGUGAUGGUUAUCUACAGCACCACCUAUCUAAAAUAUCUAGGGAGAGAGGUAACCAAAUAGUACUACUACUCCCAGCGCAGCACAUAACAAGCCAUCCGGCCAUCUUAUCCAUCGAGUCGCCACCAGCCGGAGAAACUGAGAACCAGCGACCAUGGUUGUGACAUACCUGAGAUGGGAUUUAGUUGAGCGAGUAGAGGAUCUGAGGGAGGAGAAGGCCAUUCUCUGCGGCAGUCGACGGGCAGUCGCUGGAGUCCAUGUCUGUCCGCCGGAGUCGUUUAGCGUGGGAACCUGGGGAUUUUAGGCCAAACCCCAGCAAGAAUCAGAGCUAGACACUUCCUCGCUGAGUAUUUGCUUCUUCGCGACCGAUAUAGCACGAGUCUGAGACGAGGAAGAUCAACAACCCGGAAGAUAAAUACUCAUCCUCCGAUGAACAAGUCAAG